UACAGAGGUCCCGAGCGUUGUUCGGAUUCACUGGGCGUAAAGGGUGCGUAGGUGGUGAGGUAAGUCGGAUGUGAAAUCUCCAAGCUCAACUUGGAAAUGGCAUUGGAAACUACCUUGCUGGAGGUUUGGAGGGGGGGACUGGAAUUCUCGGUGUAGCGGUGAAAUGCGUAGAUAUCGAGAGGAACACCUGCGGCGAAGGCGGGUUGCUGGGCUGACACUGACGCUGAUGCGCGAAAGCCAGGGGGAGCGAACGGG
rnacentral:rRNA from 1 species